rnacentral:rRNA from 1 species
ACCUCCUUUGUGGGAGAGUUGCACCGGAUCCAUAAGAACUCCGAAGUUAAACGUGCUCGGGUGGAGCAGUCCUGGAUGGGUGACCUCCUGAGAAGUCCCUGGUAUGUGUGCAUGCGUUGCGAGAGAUGCUUGCUGUGCAU